GGCGCCGUCGCCAAGUGGUAAGGCAGAGGUCUGCAAAACCUCCAUCCCCGGUUCAAAUCCAGGCGGCGCCUCCA
rnacentral:tRNA from 1 species